UACGAAGGGGGCUAGCGUUGCUCGGAUUGACUGGGCGUAAAGGGCGCGUAGGCGGUUUGCACAGUUGGGCGUGAAAUUCCUGGGCUUAACCUGGGGGCUGCGUUCAAUACGUGUAGGCUUGAGUUCGGAAGAGGGUCGUGGAAUUCCCAGUGUAGAGGUGAAAUUCGUAGAUAUUCGCAAGAACACCAGUGGCGAAGGCGGCCUACUGGCGACAGUCGUGACCGGCU
rnacentral:rRNA from 1 species